rnacentral:lncRNA from 1 species
CUUUAGUUCACAAAACAGAAUGUAUUCUUCAGGUAAUAAAAUCUUAUUCUGGUACUAAAAUUCACCUAGGCAUGCUCUAAAGAUAUGCUAUCAUGAAAAUGCUGCUUCAUUAUUCUGGGGGACAUAUAAAACUUGAGGAAAAGAUUAUCUUAGAAGAAAAGCUUACUUAAAAAGUUAAACAACCAUAAGUACAAAGAAAGAAAAUCCUAAAGCCUAAAGUAUUCAUCAAAUCUAAAGUAUUUCAUCAGAUCUAAGACAUCACCAAUCAUAAGACACACCUUUAUUUCAUGUACUGCAAAGAAAGAAAAAGAUUACACCAGGUGAACUAUGUCAUGCUGCAGAUUGUAAAACUAAUCGCAGUUUUAGAGAUUUUCAAAUUGGGGGUGGGUGGGAAACGUGCUUCUUUGAAUCACUGAUAUAUGUUGGAAUACUUUGAGCUGUAAUUAACAGAAAUCUGACUCAGAAUAUGUUGGUUCACUUCCCUGGAAGCUGAGAGAAAGUGGAAGCUUCAGGAAGGGGCUGAUCCGGUUCAAUAUUGUCAUUAAGGACCCACCAUCCUAUCAAGGAUCUACUUCAUUCUCCAAGGCUGGUUCCCGUUGCAGGUUACAACAAUUUUGGGAAGAAUCACCCUGGAUUGAAAACUGAAAACUGGAUAAAAAGAAGCCCCACGACAAGGGACAGUCCUGAUGAAAGCAGAAGAGGCAGCAACUCUGGCCGGAGAGGAAAACAGCCACCUUUGGGAGCAGCGGAGCUUCUCAGCUGGCCAGGCAGCAGCCAACCUAAGAGAGGUAAGGAAUGACAGAUGCCUACAAAGAGAGAAGAGGUGAGAACAUCUUCUUAACUGGGACAGAUGCAGCUGGAGACUGGUAAGAAGAACUUAGCUAAAAUUGUUAACCAAUUGGUGAAGACUGAGUGUAGGCAAGCAGAGACUGAGUGCAGGUAAGUAUUAUCGAGAAUAUAGAACUGCCAGGGCUUUAGAUUUUCACCCACUUGUAUGCUCUUUUCCACUAACCUCACCAUAUGCUCACAAAAAAAUAAUGGUGAAGGCCUUGAAGUAUAUGCUUGCAGGAGGUGAAUGGUAGGGCUGUGGGAAAGGCAGGAUCCUCUUCUCCCCAGUCCUUUCCCUGACCUCCCUUAUGGAACACAAGCCUUAUACUGUGGGAAGCAGGGCAACAAACACUGUCA